UAAAAGGAUGAUGCACCAUCAAUAACUCACUCUGAGACAUAAAGGCGAGAUAUCGGCUUUUAUUGACUGGAAGAAGGAACCAGCAGUGAGUGACCACCAUACUACAACCUGGAGACUGAGGCCGAGCAUCAGGCCUCGAUCGACUUUAUACCGGGGUCUGUGGGAGGAGCCACAGGAGCAGUCAGCAGGGGGCGUGUCCAGACAGGCACACGUAGUUCACCACACAGGAUAAAGAGAGUUGAUCUUUGAAUUCCUCCACAUUGAAGCUUUGAUGCAUUCUAAAUGUGAGUUGUUGACCAUGGUGAUAAACCGUGGAACUCUGAAGAAGGAGGGGGAGAUUGGAAGGACAACAUUUCCGGUGUGUGACGAGACUGAGGUUCAGGUGACCAUUGGAGUGACUCAUGGUUGAUUCGGGAGGCUGGUGGAAACACAUCUCUUUCAAGCCGAAUGUCUACAAACAAUGAGAAAGCUCCAGUUUCUUUACACUUCAAGAGAAAUAUGUUAGCUUCAGAAGUACGGAACUUCAGCUACCUCACUACCAUCUGCUGUGACGUGGAAACAAGUGGCAUCUCCUUCCAUGCAGUACCUCUGAAAGGAGACAGAAACAGAAAAUGGAACGUUUUCUUCAGAGAAAUCGUUCUCCUAGAUUCUGAGGUACAGAACAGAUUAACAAGUGACACUUCGAAUACGAUAAAGCCAGCAGUUCAGAAGCCUAAUGGACUGGGGGAAGAAACCAUUUCUCAUCCUGACCGUUCCUGUUUUUAUGCAUCGGAGUCUCCUGCCUGAAAGUCAAAGAGGUGCUGGAUGGAUGGGUGGUGUGUUGCCUUUAUGGCAUUUGUUUAGUUUAUAAUAUUUUCGCUUUAGUAAUUCAUUCAUUAGCAUUUUCUAGUUAAAGUUAAGAUUGUUUAAAGUAAAUUCGUUGUCUGUGAUAUAUCGCGGCAUGCAAUGACAUCACACCUGGUUUUGCCGCGUCUUGUGGGAAAAUACCAGUUUGGAGAAACGGGAAGGAGGGGGCUCACAUGUGCAGGAUCAGCGCAAGAAAAGUUUUCUUUCUACGCACUAGAAACAUCAGUGAAGCAACGCCGUAAGUUCAUGAGAUAAUCGAUAUGUUGAAUUAAAAAUGUUAAUGCUGAUUCUGUUAAAAGUAAUGACGGUUGAUAGGGUUUAUGUUUUCGUUAGUUAAAGAGUUGCGGAUAGUUUGUGUUGAAGUGUAUUUAAAGCAGUCAAUGGCGUAGGCAGAUUCUGACUGUAUGCUGCACAUUAAUGUAAUGUAGUUGUUGUAGUUUUACUUUUGCAAGUAUUUAUGAUGUAAAUGUGAUAUCAAGAAGGAAACAAAUACUGUAUACAGUUUGUAUUGUUUUAUCAACAGUUUUCACCAUACGUUAAUGUGGAAGAGUGAACAGUAAACGGUUAAUCUUACUGCGAUCCUGUUUUCAUUGACUAUGGUUUACCUCGGUGUUUAGUUCAGAAUUCUCUUACACCUGAGCGAGAACACUACAGUGAAAAGGCGGCAUUAUCAGGUGUUUCAACUGCUGCAAUGACAACUCGAUCCAGCAUCAAGUCGUUGCCAUCCAGCGACAGGGGCAGUAGGGCAUCAUCAAGUAAGGCUGCCCAUGCAAGAGCUAAGGCAGAAGCCGCCAAGGUGCAAGCGUUCUACGCCGAACAAGAAGCAAAAUUGAAAAUGGAAGCGGCUGCCAGAGAAGCCGAAAACCAGGUGGAAAGGGUAAGGAUAGCGUCAGAGUUAGAAGUGCUGACGCUACACCGAGAAGCCAAAGUUGCCAGGGUGGAAGCAGAGAUAAUAGAAAGUGCUGAAGAAAUGCACAAUCUGGUUGAUGUAAAAUCUACUUCAGAAAAGAUCAGAUUGGAAUGCACAAGCGACUACGUCCGAUCUCAAAUAGACUUGAAGAUUCGUUCUUCCUCUCCAUACUUAUACGAUUACACCCCAUUUCAUGAGGAGUCUCAGAGAGGCCCAAUUGCAUCACAUCCAUCCAAGGAAGACAAUUUACCCUCGCAACUCCUCGAUGAAUUCAAGAAUGAAAGGGCUGAUGACAAAUACUUCUCGGCACCAAACUUACCAGAUUUGGCAAGAAGAGAGGCAAAGGCUGAAUUCAGAACAGCAAAUUCCAUAACAGAUGUACUCCCUCAGUCAUAUACCCGCCGACAUAUCCCCCCAGGCCGCAUGCCACUUGCAGUUGAACCCAUGGCACAGUAUUUAACACAACGAGAUCUCGUCACUUCAAGACUAUACCAGUUUGUCGAUAAACCUGAAAAUUACCGUGCAUGGUACUCCACAUUCACCAACGCUAUUGACGGAGUCCAGCUCAGAGCAACCCAAGAGUUGGAUCUUAUGGCGAAAUGGCUGGGAAAAGAAUCAUGCGAACAGGUGAGACACAUACGUUCAGUGUACAUCAACAACCCCAAGCUAGCCUUACGCGAAGCAUGGGAGAGACUUUGGGAGGGCUAUGCGGCCCCAGAAAUUAUUGAAUUGGCACUAUACCGAUGUCUGGAAAAUUUUCCUAAGGUGUCAGCCAAGGACCACACUAAGUUAAGAGAACUCGGAGAUUUACUCAUGAAGAUUCAAGGCACCAAAGAAGAUGGCUACUCAACUGGUCUAGUAUACCUAGAUACUCCAUACGUGAUUAGACAAAUCGUAGUCAAACUUCCAUUUGGGGUGCAGGAAAGGUGGGUGUCCAUUGGCGCAGAAUACAAGGAAGAGAACAAUGGUCGAUUUCCUCCCUUUGAAUAUUUCACUAGGUUUGUGUGCAAGGAGGCGAAGAAGUGAAAUGACCCUAGCCUCAUGGGUCCAGGAAGCAGUACAAUUUACACCAAGUCAGAUAAAUCCACUUUGAAUAAUUUCAACAUUAAUAAACCUGUCUCAGUGCUUAAGACUGAAGCCUUUACAACUAACAAUGACCCUAGCAAGCCUUGUCCAUUGCAUAACAAACCCCACCCCCUCAAAAAAUGCAGAACGUUUAGGGAAAAACCCCUUGAAGACAGGUUGGCUCUCCUCAAGGAGAAAAGAAUGUUUUAAAUGCUGCUCCUCUACCUCUCACCUUGCUAGAGAGUGUACGAUCGCUGUGAAGUGCCCGGAAUGUAGUAGCACUAAUCAGGAUCGGGCCAUGCAUCCCGGCCAAUUACCGCAAACCAAUAAGGCUCCUUCACCCCCACAAAAGGACGGUGGGGAGAGAGAGGCUCACUCCAGGACAACUGUUGUCAGCUCGAGCUGCACAGAAGUUUGCAGUCAAGCUCAGUCAAGCUGUUCUUGUUCAGAGAUCUGCCUCACUUAGGUGUACCCUAAGGGAGCCAAAGACAAGGCCAUCAAAGCCUAUGUAAUUCUGGACGAUCAGAGCAAUCGCUCACUAGUCAGUCCAGAGUUCUUUGACUUGUUCAACAUUGAGAGUAAUCAGUUCCCAUACUACCUUAGAACUUGCUCAGGCAGCGUGGAAACCUAUAGAAGGAAGGCAGAAGGCUUCCAGCUCGAGUCCCUGGAUGGUCUUAGAGUGCAAUGAAAUUUUGAAGAACUGCACUGAGAUCCUGACACCAAGUGCAGUGCUACACCAGCCACAUCUCCACCACAUUGCCAAGCACAUCCCAGAACUGGAUCCAAAAGCAGAAAUACUCCUGCUAUUAGGAAGAGAUGUUCUCCGGGUGCACAAGGUUAGGCAGCAGGUCAAUGGACCACACAACGCCCCCUUUGCCUAACGCCUGGAUCUGGGCUGGGUGGUGAUAGGAGAGGUGUGUCUUGGCGAUGUACACAAACCGACAGUUAACACACUCAAGAACAAUGUGCUAGAGAGUGACCGCUAUUCAAUUUUUCAACCCCGCACAAGUUUCAUGUGUAUCAAGGAAGCACGACAAGGCUUUAACAAAUGUAAAGUAACCGACAAGAGGCUGGGUCAGUCAGUCUUCGCGCAAACUGAGCAUGCUUAUAAACUUGCUCCAUCAGCUCAAGAGAUCAUUUUCUUAAAAAUAAUGGACACCAAGGUCUUCAGAGAUGAAGCAAAUAAUUGGGUCACCCCACUACCUUUCAGAGAACCACGCCAGUGCUUGCCAAACAACAAAGAGCAGGCAGUCAAGCUGUUCAUGUCCUUGCAAAAAAGCCUGAAAAGGAAACCCGAGAUGCAGCAACACACCUGAUUGACCCACGAGGUACUGUGCACACUAAUGGCAGAGGUCACAGCCAUUAUAAAUGCACGAGCACUCCUACCUGUGUCUUCUGACCCGGAAAACCCCUUCAUACUCUCACCAUCAAUGCUCCUUACGCAGAAUGCAGGAGCUCCCCCUCCACCAGGGGGCUUCUCUGAUAAGGAUUUGUACACAAAGCAAUGGAGACAGGUCCAGGCUCUGGCAAAUCAGUUCUGGUCUCGUUGGAGACAGGAAUAUCUACCUUUGUUACAACACAGACAAAAGUGGACAGAACCCUGCAGGAAUCUUCAAGUUGGAGAUUUAGUCCUGCUCAGGGACAAGCAAAUCGCCCACAACAGCUGGCCAAUGGCCAGAAUCACUGCCACAUUCCCUAGUAGGGAUGGACAUGUCAGGAAGGUUGAGUUGAAAACUACCAACCAAGGUGAUGUGAAAAUUUACCAAAGGCCAGUUACAGAAGUCAUUCUACUUCUACCUAAGGACUGAUUUAGAGACUGAAGUUUUGUAUUAUGUUCAUUGUGACCUUACGAAGGUCAAGCGGGGAGUGUGUUGCCUUUAUGGCAUUUGUUUAGUUUAUAAUAUUUUUGCUUUAGUAACUUGUUUGUUAGCAUUUUCUAGUUAAAGUUAAGAUUGUUUAAAGUAAAUUCGUUGUCUGUGAUAUAUCACGGCAUGCGAUGACGUCACUCGCGGUUUCGCUGCAUCUUGUGGGAAAAUACCGGUUUGGAGAAACGGGAAGGAGGGGGCUCACACGUGUAGGAUCAGCACAAGAAAAGUUGUCUUUCUACGCACUGGAAACAUAGUGAAGCAACACCGUAAGUUCAUGUGAUAAUCGAUAUGUUGAAUUUAAAAUGUUAACGCUGAUUCUGUUAAAAGUAAUGAUGGUUGAUAAGGUUUAUGUUUUGGUUAGUUAAAGAGUUGCGGAUAGUUUACGUUGAAGUGUAUUUAAAGCAGUCAAUGGCGUAGGUAGAUUCUGACUGUAUGCUGCACUUUAAUGUAAUGUAGUUGUUGUAGUUUUACUUUUGCAAGUAUUUAUGAUGUAAAUGUGAUAUCAAGAAGGAAACAAAUACUGUAUACAUUUUGUAUUGUUUUAUCAACAGUUUUCACCAUACACUAAUGUGGAAGAGUGAACAGUAAAUGGUUAAUCUUACUGCGAUCCUGUUUUCAUUGACUAUGGUUUACCUCGGUGUUUAGUUCAGAAUUCUCUUACACCUGAGCGAGAACACUACAGGUGGAAUCCUUAGUAACGAGGGCCCUGCGUAAACAGUGCUCCUGAUAAAUGUUCCUGAUGGAUGGUAGAGAGACCCCUAUGAUUCCCUCAGCUGUUCUCACGGUCCUUUGUACAAGCUUCAAGUCUGAUGCUCGAUUGCUUCCAUACCAGACAGAUGCAACUUGUCAAGAUGCUCUCAAUGGUGCUCCUGAAAAAUGCAAUUAAGAUUGGGGGUGGAAACCUUGUUUGCCUCAAUCUUCUUAGGAAAUGGAGGUGAUAUUAGGGACCAGGUGAGCUCACCCGUGAUAUGAAUUCCCAGGAAUUUGGUACCCUUAACUCUCUCUACGGAGGGACCAUGUACAUGCUGAGGGGGAUGGUUUGUCUGCAACUCCCCGAAGUCCACAACGAUUUCCUUUGUCUCCUCCACUUUCAGGCUUUAUUGUCGUAUUGAAAACUUAAAUUUUUACAUAGCUUGACAGAAUGGAUGGACCCAUGCUGUUCGUCCUCGUAGACAACGUCAACAUAAAAAGUCGGCCAUUCUGCACUGCAAUGUAUUUUUAAAAUACUUUAUCAAAGGGGGUAGUGUAAUCUUGGAUUUUUUAACUCAAGAGGACUGUGGAUAUUUAAGCAGAGAUUGCAAGACUUUUGGGUAUUAAGUUAAUUGUGAACUACAGGAUCAGUGAAGUAGAAGGUAUGGAAUUACCUGGUGAAUGGCAGAGCAGGAACAAGGAGCUGAAGAACCUACUUCUGCUUCCACUUCUUGUAUUCUUGAGCUCAGUCAAAUUGUGUACUCAGCUGCUUUUGGAAUCACAGGUUGAAUCGAACGGGCUGAUGACGAGCUUGUGCGAAGGCCGGGGUCUCAGAGCAUGGCCAACCAUCACACGUACCCAUUUUUAGCAACAUCUGGUGGACGGGAACAUAAACAUUAUCUGAUAUCUUUACAAUCUCAAGCGCUUGGUGACGAAGUUCUAAAUCUACAGAAACCCAUCCAAGUUUGGCAUUGCUGAGAAAGCCAGCAUUUAUUGUGCAUCCCUUUUUACCCUUGAGAAAGGGGUGGCAAGUGACCUUCUCAAACUACUGUAGUCUGGAUGACAACACAUCCUCAAUGCUGCUCAGGAAUGAGUUUCAGAAACAAGGACAAUGGAUAAAUGGAGAUAGGAUUCUGGGCUGAGGUGUGCACAUAUACUAUACCAGCUAGUGAUAGCAGAUUUCUUACCCCAAUGGAUACAGUGAACUAGAUGGAUUUUGGCAACAAUUCAGGAGUAGUUUUGUGCUAUCAAGGUUCAAAGUACAUUUAUUAUCAAAGUAUGUAUGCAGUUUUUCCACAGACAGCCAUGAAUCAAUGAAAGAAAACCACGGACCCAUUCUAAGAAAAGAAAUGUCAACCCCCUCCCAAUGCACAAAUGGCAAAAAACAGCAAAAAAAAACACAGACUAUAAAACACCAAACCACAAAUCAUCAGUACUCAUUCAAGUUUUUGUUUCCAAAUUCACAUGAUUAAACAAAUUUAAAUUCUACAGCUGCUGCAGUAAAUUUGAGAUUAUCUCAAGAUUGUUAGUCCAAGUCUUUGGAUAGUUAAUCUUGGAUCUUAAUUUCUACACUAUCACCAUAUCCUGGGAACAACCAAUCAGAUCAGGGCUGGGCAUUAAACCUGAGCUGAAUGCCCAGUAAUUUGUGAUUCAUUAUUGUGAAAACAAAAGUUAUACUUGUUUACUUUGGACAAAAUAACAUACUCAUCAAUUAAGGGUCGGCACAACUUUGUGGGCCGAGGAGCCUGUGCAGUGCUAUAAUAUUCCAUUUUCUAUGUUCUAUAACAUAAUUGACCCAAGCAAAUUAUUCAUAAUGCCCAAAAUACAAAGAAAAUAAAAAAUAGACAAUUCUAAAUAUAACAUUAUAGUCAACAGCAAAUUCUUCAAUCUAUUAUCACUGUCAUAGAUGCAGUCAUGUAAUGUCUCUUUUAGAUAAGAAAUGUAUUUUAUAUUCUGUAAAAAAUUAGGGCAUGUUUUCAAGAUUUUAAACAUAUUAUUGACAUGUAUUAAUAGGUACAGAUGCAGGCAAGUAAUUUUUAUACCAAUAAUUAUGAAUAUUAUCACUGCUGGUAUUUUUCCUGUCGUGGGUAUUUUUAUAACUGGUUUUGGCAUUCCAUUGUAACUUCAAAAGUCUGCAUGUCUUCAAUUGUGCGAGUGCAUUCUUUUACUAGCUUGCUUCCAGAUUGUGCGUCAUCAUGCUUGACCAGAUAUUAGACCAAAAGUUCCUUAUCUCUGUGUUUGUUGGUAAUUCUGUGCUGUGGUUUCUGACAUUUUGUUGCAUUGAAUUUAGUUUCAAAAUCCUUGUAUAAACAUUUUUCACUCUU